UACACACCGCUCGUCACACCAUGGAAGUAGGUUGCACCAGGAGUAGGUAGUCUAACCUUCGGGAGGACGCUUACCACGGUGUGGCUUAUGACUGGGGUG
rnacentral:rRNA from 1 species